AAAAGGAAAGGCGGAGAGGCAGGGGAAGAGCUGGCUCCCCUCACUCCAGUGCCUGGUUGGAGGUAAACAGCCUCCCUGGGCCAGGAGGGAAGGGGCAACCUUCAAAGGCAGAAAAGAGAUAUAUAUAUAUAUCUUAGUGGACUACAUAUAUGCAUGGGGUCCUUGGAGUCCAGAAGAGGGCAUCGGACUUCCUGGAACUCUCCUGGAGUCACAGAUGGUCCUGAGUCACCAUGCAAGUGCUGGGAACUGAAACUGAGUCCUCUCUGAAAGAGCAGAAAGUCCCUUUAACCAUUGAGCCAUCUCUCCAGCCCCACCAUGGUGAGGACUUUUAAAUCAUCAGAAUUCUGCUUGUUUGUGUCAACAGCCAGAACCCUGUGACCACAGAUGAAAAGCAAACAGAUCCCAAGUUAACUGAAGGGAUAGAAAACAUCAACAGGGACACUUGGUAGUUGGCUGACUCUGGAGUAGUGAGGUAACUGUCAAAGGUAUUAUGUGUGCAUACAUGCAUAUAUGUGUAUAUGGGGGAUAAAAAGGGGGAUAAACUAACUCCUUCCUUGAGUGGGGCCUUCCUACGUUUCACCUUUAUAUGUUUAGUUCGAUGUGUGGAUUGUAUUAGGUGUGUAGUUACACAUUUUUAUGUUUUAAGAGGUGAUACUCUUUCCCCUCGGAUGAAUACUCUACCCAGAAUUUCAAAGUACAAUAGAGGUAGAAGAGAAAUGUACCUUGGAUGCUCC
rnacentral:lncRNA from 1 species